GAAUAAUCCUGCCAGCCCUUGGUGGUGUAAAUGGCAGAUGGGAACAGAUGACUGUGGCCUCUCAGCAUCCUGCCUUCCUGUGGUCCUGGGGCAAGUCCAGCUUCAGAGGGAGAACAGGUGCACUGUGUGGAUUGUCUGUGGGAGAAGUUGGUGAAGACUUUCUGAAAGGUCCAGGAGGGUGGAGAAGAUGAGUGAACUCUCCAGCAGUAACCCACAGGUGACAUGGGACCGAUGUCCUGCUGCUGCACUCAUGAAUGUAGGCUGGGUCACCCUGCUGCCAGUCACUGAACUCCACCAGGCAGGGAUGUGUUCAGGACUGGGGGAGGGGUACGGAGAGUGGGGAAGACAUGCACAGCUCUGGCAAUAUGAUGAGAUAGAAACUGGUAGUAGACAAGGCAGGCAGGGCGGGCUUGGCAGCAGAGCUGGUGUUAAUUCAUUCAAGCAGCGUCUCCCGUUGGCUCUGCCUUUUCCAGCUUGCAAGGUGUUUUCACAUCCUGUUCUGAGCCUGAUCCUGGCAAGGGAUCAGGGAGGGAGGCACAGAAGGCUGUUAGUGCAUUGGGAGGCCACAGCUAUGGUGGCUGGAGGAGGUGUUGGGGUUCUGGUGAGCAGAGGAUGCAGGGCUGCUGCUUCCUAUCCAACUUCUAGGGGGCUCCAAGUGGCUCAGACAGGU
rnacentral:lncRNA from 1 species